rnacentral:rRNA from 1 species
AGUGAACGCUGGCGGUAGGCCUAACACACGCAAGUCGAACGGCAGCACAGUAAGAGCUUGCUCUUACGGGUGGCGAGUGGCGGACGGGUGAGGAAUACAUCGGAAUCUACUUUUUCGUGGGGGAUAACGUAGGGAAACUUACGCUAAUACCGCAUACGGCCUACGGGUGAAAGCAGGGGAUCUUCGGACCUUGCGCGAUUGAAUGAGCCGAUGUCGGAUUAGCUAGUUGGCGGGGUAAAGGCCCACCAAGGCGACGAUCCGUAGCUGGUCUGAGAGGAUGAUCAGCCACACUGGAACUGAGACACGGUCCAGACUCCUACGGGAGGCAGCAGUGGGGAAUAUUGGACAAUGGGCGCAAGCCUGAUCCAGCCAUACCGCGUGGGUGAAGAAGGCCUUCGGGUUGUAAAGCCCUUUUGUUGGGAAAGAAAAGCAGCAGGUUAAUACCCCGCUGUUCUGACGGUACCCAAAGAAUAAGCACCGGCUAACUUCGUG